UACAGAGACGUCGAGCGUUGUUCGGAUUCAUUGGGCGUAAAAGGGGUGCGUAGGCGGUGAGGUAAGUUGGAUGUGAAAAUCCCCAAGGCUUAACCUUGGAAGUGCAUCCAAAACUGCCUUGCUAGAGGACUGGAAGGGAGACUGGAAUUCUCGGUGUAGCGGUGGAAUGCGUAGAUAUCGAGAGGAACACCUGUGGCGAAGGCGGGUCUCUGGACAGUUCCUGACGCUGAGGCACGAAAGCCAGGGGAGCAAACGGG
rnacentral:rRNA from 1 species